rnacentral:tRNA from 1 species
GCACCCGUAGCUCAGCAGGAUAGAGCGACCGCCUCCUAAGCGGUAGGCCGUGGGUUCGAAUCCCGCCGGGUGUGCCA